rnacentral:rRNA from 1 species
AUUGAACGCUGGCGGCAGGCCUAACACAUGCAAGUCGAACGGUAACAGAAAGCAGCUUGCUGCUUUGCUGACGAGUGGCGGACGGGUGAGUAAUGUCUGGGAAACUGCCUGAUGGAGGGGGAUAACUACUGGAAACGGUAGCUAAUACCGCAUAACGUCGCAAGACCAAAGAGGGGGACCUUCGGGCCUCUUGCCAUCGGAUGUGCCCAGAUGGGAUUAGCUUGUUGGUGGGGUAACGGCUCACCAAGGCGACGAUUCCUAGCUGGUCUGAGAGGAUGACCAGCCACACUGGAACUGAGACACGGUCCAGACUCCUACGGGAGGCAGCAGUGGGGAAUAUUGCACAAUGGGCGCAAGCCUGAUGCAGCCAUGCCGCGUGUAUGAAGAAGGCCUUCGGGUUGUAAAGUACUUUCAGCGGGGAGGAAGGGAGUAAAGUUAAUACCUUUGCUCAUUGACGUUACCCGCAGAAGAAGCACCGGCUAACUCCGUG